CAGAGUUGCAAAACUCCCUAAACCAUUGUGAACCUUACCCAAACCGUUGCUUCGGCGGGCGGCGCACCGCGCCCCCCGGCCCCUCGCGGGCGCCCGCCGGAGGUACCCAAACCAUUGAUACUUUUAUGGCCUCUCUGAGUCUUCUGUACUGAAUAAGUCA
rnacentral:misc_RNA from 1 species